UGGGGAAUAUUGGGCAAUGGGCGCAAGCCUGACCCAGCAACGCCGCGUGAAGGAAGAAGGCUUUCGGGUUGUAAACUUCUUUUAUCAGGGACGAAGCAAGUGACGGUACCUGAUGAAUAAGCCACGGCUAACUACGUGCCAGCAGCCGCGGUAAUACGUAGGUGGCGAGCGUUAUCCGGAUUUACUGGGUGUAAAGGGCGUGUAGGCGGGCUUGCAAGUCAGAUGUGAAAUUCCAGGGCUCAACCCUGGAACUGCAUUUGAAACUGUAGGUCUUGAGUGCUGGAGAGGCAAUCGGAAUUCCGUGUGUAGCGGUGAAAUGCGUAGAUAUACGGAGGAACACCAGUGGCGAAGGCGGAUUGCUGGACAGUAACUGACGCUGAGGCGCGAAAGCGUGGGGAGCAAACAGGAUUAGAUACC
rnacentral:rRNA from 1 species